AGAGUUUGAUCAUGGCUCAGAUUGAACGCCGGCGGUAUGCUUAACACAUGCAAGUCGAACGGUAACAGUCCCUCCCCUAGAAAUUUCUUAAAAAGAGAUUUGUAGGUGAGGGAGCUGACGAGUGGCGGACGGGUGCGUAAUGUAUAGGAAUCUGCCUAGUAGUGGGGGACAACUCGGAGAAAUUCGAGCUAAUACCGCAUAAGCCCUCCGGGGGAAAACGGGGGAUCUUCGGACCUCGUGCUAUUAGAUGAGCCUAUAUUAGAUUAGCUUGUCGGUGAGGUAAUGGCUCACCAAGGCGACGAUCUAUAGCUGGUCUGAGAGGAUGAUCAGCCACACUGGGACUGGGACACGGCCCAGACCCCUACGGGAGGCAGCAGUGGGGAAUAUUGGACAAUGGGCGAAAGCCUGAUCCAGCAAUACCGCGUGUGUGAAGAAGGCCUGAGGGUUGUAAAGCACUUUCAAUUGGGAGGAAUACCUAAUAGUUAAUAGCUAUUAGAUUGAC
rnacentral:rRNA from 1 species